rnacentral:rRNA from 1 species
UACGUAGGUGGCAAGCGUUGUCCGGAAUUAUUGGGCGUAAAGCGCGCGCAGGUGGUUUCUUAAGUCUGAUGUGAAAGCCCACGGCUCAACCGUGGAGGGUCAUUGGAAACUGGGGAACUUGAGUGCAGAAGAGGAAAGUGGAAUUCCAAGUGUAGCGGUGAAAUGCGUAGAGAUUUGGAGGAACACCAGUGGCGAAGGCGACUUUCUGGUCUGUAACUGACACUGAAGCGCGAAAGCGUGGGGAGCGAACAGG